rnacentral:rRNA from 1 species
AGUGAACGCUGGCGGUAGGCCUAACACAUGCAAGUCGAACGGCAGCACAGUAAGAGCUUGCUCUUACGGGUGGCGAGUGGCGGACGGGUGAGGAAUACAUCGGAAUCUACUUUUUCGUGGGGGAUAACGUAGGGAAACUUACGCUAAUACCUCAUACGACCUACGGGUGAAAGCAGGGGAUCUUCGGACCUUGCGCGAUUGAAUGAGCCGAUGUCGGAUUAGCUAGUUGGCGGGGUAAAGGCCCACCAAGGCGACGAUCCGUAGCUGGUCUGAGAGGAUGAUCAGCCACACUGGAACUGAGACACGGUCCAGACUCCGACGGGAGGCAGCAGUGGGGAAUAUUGGACAAUGGGCGCAAGCCUGAUCCAGCCAUACCGCGUGGGUGAAGAAGGCCUUCGGGUUGUAAAGCCCUUUUGUUGGGAAAGAAAAGCAGCAGGGUAAUACCCCGCUGUUCUGACGGUACCCAAAGAAUAAGCACCGGCUAACUUCGUG